rnacentral:snRNA from 1 species
AUACCUUUCAUGGUCUUUUGGCUAAGAUAAAGUAUAGUAUCUCUUCUUAUCAGUUUAUAUGUGGACUAUUAGUUCACACGAUAUUAAAUUAAUUUUUUAAGGUGAGGUCCAUUAAGGUAGCUUGCUACUUGGUCUCUCAAGCAUCAUCCUUGUAUUUCACUUUUGCAGGGUUUUGGUGCAUCCCAC